rnacentral:rRNA from 1 species
AACGAACGCUGGCGGCAUGCCUAACACAUGCAAGUCGAACGAGACCUUCGGGUCUAGUGGCGCACGGGUGCGUAACGCGUGGGAACCUGCCCUUAGGUUCGGAAUAACUCCCCGAAAGGGGUGCUCAUACCGGAUAAUGUCUUCGGACCAAAGAUGUAUCGCCUCUGGAUGGGCCCGCGUUGGAUUAGCUAGUUGGUAGGGUAAAAGCCUACCAAGGCGACGAUCCAUAGCUGGUCUGAUAGGAUGAUCAGCCACACUGGGACUGAGACACGGCCCAGACUCCUACGGGAGGCAGCAGUGGGGAAUAUUGGACAAUGGGCGAAAGCCUGAUCCAGCAGUGCCGCGUGAGUGAUGAAGGCCUUAGGGUUGUAAAUCUCUUUUACCCGGGAUGAUAAUGACAGUACCGGGAGAAUAAGCACCGGCUAACUCCGUG